UACAGAGGGGGCAAGCGUUGUUCGGAAUUACUGGGCGUAAAGGGCGCGUAGGCGGCCUGCUAAGUCGAACGUGAAAUCCCCGGGGCUCAACCCGGGAACUGCGUCCGAUACUGGUUGGCUUGAAUCCGGGAGAGGGAUGCGGAAUUCCAGGUGUAGCGGUGAAAUGCGUAGAUAUCUGGAGGAACACCGGUGGCGAAGGCGGCAUCCUGGACCGGGCAUUGACGCUGAGGCGCGAAAGCCAGGGGAGGCAAACGGG
rnacentral:rRNA from 1 species